CAUACCUAAGUGGUGACUUUGGGCUUAAAAUUGUGUUAACAUUGUGAAUGUUGGUUUUGAAUGACUUUACUACCUGUGGAUCAUUAUCAAAGUGACUAAUCCUUCUUAAGAGUGGAGCAUAUGCGUCAAGUUUUACUCAACAACAAUCUGAGAAUACUGUGAAACUGGAGAAAUGCCUUAAGCUCAUACAGCAACUUACAUGCAUUCUAAGGAAGAAGGUAAAACAAAAGAUGUUGUAUUUCCUGUACAUUAAAGUAUAAGUGGUGCCAAAGGAAUCCCCAGAACAGAAAGAGAAGGUAGAAUCUGUUAUUCCCAGAGAUCAUUCUUGAGAUCCACAGCUGAGCUACUGCAGCAUUAGCUGACCAGACAGCUCCUGACCAAGCCUCGGCUUCUAGCAGACAUUGAAUUAUCUCUCCUACUGAAGCAAUGUGAAUCAUAGCAAAGGACUCAUGGAGAAUGGAGAGCCAUGUAUCGUCAGCACAAUGAUAGCAUCUAGUUCAGCAUCUCACUUCUAAACUUCUCAGUGGUUUCCAUAACACUUUGAGUAGGAGGAAAGAAGAGGAGGCAAGGACUAGUCAUACAAUUAGGCAAAUGGCUGUCUACUAUUUACUACUUCCCUGCUACACGUUUUCCCACAAAUACAAGCUCAGUCUCUCCCUAUCUAUACUUGCUGAGGCUGUGGGCUAGUUUAGAAUAGAAUGUAAGCAGCAGAGCACUCAUCAGCUGAAGUCAGCUGAACAAUACACAACAUUGACACAGACAACUUGCUGUUAAUAUCAUCUAGUGAAACUCAUCAUUAGUAUCAUAAAAUAUUUUUAGUUCAAUGCCUGAAGCCACCUAAAAUGGGUGUUAAGAAAUUCAAAAGAAUUUAUUCUUAUGAAAGGUCCUAUCAUCCCUCUUUUCUAGAACCAGGAUAUUCAAGCCAGCUUGCAACAGUCAUAAAUUCUCACAAAUUGCUGACCCAACAGAGGGUUUUCAUCUAUGUGCACGCGGAUGUCACAAAUAGCCAUUAUGCUCACUGAAACAAAGCUACAGAAAAAUCUGAAAACUUACCCAAAGUAAGUCUACAGUAGUCUAGAGCAAGCUGAAUGCUUAUGGCAUCAAUACCAUUUUAGUGGUGUCUGCAUGCACAAAUAUUUUAGUACAGUGUUUUCAGGAUAGUCCCACAAUAAAGGGUAGAGUCAAUGUGAUAUAUAUAUAUAUAGUAUAUAGAUAUAAAUAGCCAUCCACUUGAAUCUACUGAUCAACUUUUCUCACUAACAAGAGAAACUGCUUUUUAAAAGACUGUACACAGCUAGCCCAGCUCCCCAGGUGACCUGAAAGGAAUAAAAUUCUUGUGAUAGGUAAAGCAAGAAGGCUAGGAUAAAGCUACAUUAAACUGGGAGUAAAUGAAUACAUGAAAUUUGUUCCUACUCUGACCAAUGUUAUUAAUUUCCAAAUGACAUAAAAUGAGAAGGAAAGAUGAUUCUGUGCAUAUCCUUUUCAUCUAUACCCUUCUCACGGUUCCACAUCUCAGAAAGAAGAGACUGUUGUAUCACAAGUUUACUUCAUUCGUGUUCUCUUGCAGGAGAUGGAAAGGAAAAGAACUGAUGGUUUGCAGGAAUGCAAAAUAAGGGCACUGGCUACGGCAAUGUCCAGAGAACACGUGGCUUGCAGAAGCUGGAUGGCUUCAUUCUCCCUUGGAAUAACGACACCCAGGAUCUGCCCAGCUCCAGAGCCAUCACUAAGGAUGUGCUAUAUAUAACACAGGAUAUAAGGAUAUAUAUAUGUAUAUAACACAGAUAUAACAAAGGAUGUGUUAGAUACAUGUUUUAAGGGUCAGGCAACUAGGGCAAGUGUAAUUUUACCACUGCAUGUCCUCCAUGAACAGGUGUUUCUCAAAUCAGAGAACAACCCAAGUUGGAAGGAUGGUCCACAGGGACCACUGAGACAAACUCCUGUCUCCACUCAGGACCACCCUGAAGCCCUCAUUCAAACCUUAUGUCUGAGAGCAUUGUCCAAACACCCCUUCAGCUCCGGCAGCUUGGGGCCAUGAUCACUCCCCUGGGGAGCUUUUUCCAUGCCCGUAGUCCUCUGGAGAAGAACCUUUUUCCAGUGCAGCUCCAUGAACUCAUCUGAGUCCAUUGUGCAGCCCAAUUAUUCAGGCCUCUGGUUGGGUAGCAGAAUUAUGUUUGGCCAACGAGGCUGCCAAAUACUUCAAAAAACAACUGGCUACUAGGCAUUAUGUUGGUCCUGGUGUCACACAGAUGGCACUUCUUGGUUAGUUUCAGGGAAAAAGUGUCAGAGCAGGGAUCUGAGAAGACUUGAAGUACAAUUUUACAUUAGUCCUACAGAUACAGGGUACUGCCAAAGGUGUGAAAUUCUUAAAUAGAAAUAUCAAGAAUAUUACAAAGAAUAAUCUACAGGUGUGAUAGUAUAAUUUAAAAGAUCCCACUGAACCCUGGCUUUCAGCUAUUACUCUGACAUGUACAUAUAAAGACUCUCAAUUUCCCCCAUUUUUUUCACCACUCAUAAUUUUCUAUAUAUUACACAAUAAUUCCCAUUUAUACACUAAUUCUCUUUCUCCUUUCAUCUGUUAACCGUCAGGUUCCCAAAUGCCUACAGUACAUGUGUUGCCUCUGCCUUCAGUGUUUUUCCAUCCUCUUCCACUCCUUCAUUGCUCAUCUUCAUUCUCAAACAAAUCCAGGACAGGUAGCUGUGUGCAGCACUCAGAUUAGCUAGCCUAAGCACAGGAAUCCCUAAAAGAUAACCAUGCUUCCGCAUGUGCAUCUGUUUCAGUAGUUGUUCUUACAUGUCUCUGAAUGUAUUUAACAUAAUUAUAUGUGUUAUUGCACCAGGAUUCAUCAUUAUAGAACAGUCAAAAAAGUCUAUCCCACAGAGUGUGGAGAGGGGAUUUUGAGGAAUGCAUUGUAAUACUACCAGUACAUCAUCUGUUUUGCUCUAUUUCCCAUAGUAUGUUAUUUAAUUUAGCCUUGAUAAAGUACUGGGAGGCUUUAAACCAUGCUCUUAGUCAUGAAAAUGUUCACAAAGCAGAAAACAGAAAAUGUUUUCUGCAUGGAACAAAGGGAACAAAAGGCAAGAAUUAUACCUAAAAGUACCAGGCUACAGUGUGAACAGAUUUUAUUGGACAUUUGUAUAAAAUGUCAGAGCACUUCAUUCUGGAGUAAUUCUGUCCUUAUUGCUCAUUUUUCUUCCCCCUUCUACUUCAGAGCUUCUUUUUCAGUACUUUUUUUUUUUUUUUUUUUUUUUUUUUUACUUUUGAAAUCUCUGCUUCUUAAAGACCACUUUUGCAUCCGUGUUUUUUUUUUUCUUUUCUUUUUUUCCCCAUGGUUUUAAAUCUACAUGUUCAGAAGUAAAUCCUGUGGCUCCUCCUGUUUCCCAGCUGUUUAGUGCUUCUCAUGCUACCUCCCUCUUGCCUGCUUAAAGAAAACACAGGGGGGAUGCUUAGGAACUGAGAAAAGGAAAAUAGUGAAUGGUUUAAAACACUGAGGAUCACAAUAGCCAGAAAAGUUGUGAGACAGAGGACAGAAUAGUUGAAGUUGAGGCAGCUUAUUUUUAGUCCUUCUUUUCCCAGCAGCUUGUUUGCUUCCUAUAACUGAGUCUGGAUUGCAGUAACAUCUCUACAAAGUAUUUCAGAACAGCCUAAUGUCCUAACAAGGAGUAUGUCCAGUUUUCCAUUUUCAAGAAGUUCAGGCACCCUGCAAGCAAAACUUGGCUCUGUAAAAAUCUCAGAAGCGGGCAAUUUUAACUAGCCUGAGAUAGAGGAGGUAAGAGUGAUCCUGUCUGUAGUCAGCCUUUGCAGCCUCAAAGUAUGGACAUCUUCAGCAUUAGAGGAGCGCAGAGAUAAGGGAGGCAUUGUUGCACAUAUAACACUUCCCAUUUUCCAUGCUGCUUCAGCUGUUAAAUUUUCAUCUGCCUGUAGAUGCUGAAAUAUAUCCACAAAUUGAAGACUCCUAUACCUCAAAUGAAACUAACAUAUAAAGGAUAAUGUUUUACAAGUGAAAUGAAUAGGUAGAGUCCGCACAAACACUGAUUUCCAGGUAGGAUAACAUCAUAAACACAGGGAAAUUAAAUUAAUGGUUGAAUGAUAACAUUACUAAACUCCCAGCAUUAAUAAUCAGACAUAAAUCUUUAACUGUCUGUGACUGAGGACUCCUGUAUCUUGUUAUAACUCACCUCCCUACAGAAUACACAUCUCCUUCUAAAUAUAAAUAUUUGAAAUUACAAUCUAUGUGUGUUGGAGUAUGAUAAAAUGUGCAGGAAUUAACAGGUUGAUACUAAAAAAUAACGUGUCUGGAAAGUAUAUAUUAAUACUAAAAACGGGGAAGCCGUCUUGCACUGGUCUUGUUUGUUUGCUCUUCAGUCAAUUUCAAUUAGUGUUCUUGGAACUGUAUGUGUGGAGUAAUAUUAGCUCUGAAAAAUCAGUAACCCCCAAUUUUUUACUGCAUUCAAGUACAGUUUUAUCUUACCUGUGCAUUAGCAACGAGAGGGAAAUAAAAGAAGAUAACUGGGGGAUUAUCUUUUGUCCUGGUUUCAUCUUUAUGACCAAAACCUACUAAAUCUGUCAUCUCUACUACAGAUAAAUGGUUUGUAAAGUUUUGAAAUAAUCAUAUGCAUCCAAAAAUGGUGAAUUUCCAAAGUAAACUGGGAGUAAAAUAUCAAACCAGAGCACCUUCUGCAGGUCUGCCAGUACUCAGCCCACCUAUGUUUUAAGAAACAACCCCCAAAUCACCUCAAAACAUGUUGCAAACUUUUGUUUGUUUGUUUGUUUUUAAAUAUUCCUCACUGUCUUUAGCUUAGGAGCUGUAAUUUGACAAGCAGCUGACAUUGCAUUUUAAUAAUUAUGAUUAACCAAGUUAUAAAAGUUUUCAAUAUUUUAUUAUUUUUUUCUUUUUAGGUGCAUCAGCUUCUUGCUGAAUUAGCUAUUUCCUAACAUUUCUCAGUAGUGCAUGCUACACAUUAUAAGUCAACUGUGAUUUUGAGUGAUGUAUAAAGUAUAAUGAUUUUUUUUUCCAUAUUCUUUGUAUUGAUGAAGACAGAGAAAACACUGCAGCUCUGGUUUCAACCUUGAAAGAGCUACAAUCUGUUCUUUACUAUGUCACAUUCUUCAUCUGUAACAUGGGAACAGCAAUUGCUACGCUGUACCGUGAUGUGGGGUAUGAUCAAUGUGAUGUGCUCAGCUACUGCAGUAAAGAAAAACAAGAUGGGUAGCACUCCAGAAAAGACAAAAAGAUGAGUUAGUAUACAUGAAAGAACAGUGACAUUAGGACCUUUGUUUCUGAGUUUUAUUUGUAAGAUACAGAUCGGGAUUUACUGUUUAACACAUAUAAGGGGAAAGCUGACUUUGACUUGGUCUUGUGGGCUUUCCUUUCAGGAAACUCAUUUUUAACUUUGUGGACAGUACUCCAAAGCCACUUCCAAUGACAUUUUUUUCUGUAGGUGAAUCCCGCAUAGCUGGGAAACAGAAGAUAUGAAGACACACAUGCUCACAGGUGGUCCAUGUGCUCAUGGAUUUCAUGAGGAGCAUCCCACUGGUUUCAGCAGGAGACAGAUUCCAACCCCUCGGCACAGUAAAACCACACAUUUCUUCCAUCAGUGGCAUGGAGCACUGGCAGGGACACAAACCCAGUUCCUGAGAUUCUGAGAAGACAACACUUGCUCAGCUUUGCAAAAGCCAUCUGGGAUCUUCAGAUAUAAGGACUGAAAUGUUACCUGUUUCAACCUGCAGGAAUAUUGCCACCAGGUUUGGGAAGGCCUGGAUUUCACCUAAAGCACUGCAAACAACAUGUUUACAUCUGCAUCUUAUUGAUCGCUUUUUGUUGGCCUGUUUGAAAAAAGUAACAGGAGAAUGGGGGGGGGGAACCACACACACACACAAAAAAAAAAAAAAAGAAAGAAAAAGAGAAAAAAUAAAUGAAUUGCAGGGUGGAAGGAGUGGGAAAAGAGCUCGGUUGUGAGGGAGCCACAGCAAUACUACUAAAACAACUACUUUGUUUUAUAUUGGGUCUACUUCCAUGGCAUCUAACACCACAUGUAAAUGCUAAUACUCCCUGAAUGUUAUCACUUCAUGAAGGUUCAACAGCAAAGUGAUCUAAAAGACAGUGCUGUAAUGAAAUGCCAUGAGGUUAGGAACUGUCAGCACUCCAUCGCAAACCACCACAACACGCAAUGAACUGGGAAAUUAGCAAACUUUCUCCAAUAUAUACUAAAGGUAAAAAGAAUAAAAGAUAUAUAAAUGAAUAUUCUGUUAUCUGCAGACAUCACUGUGGUGUUACAACACCAGACAAGAACACAGUGCAUCAGAAAUGACAAAUAAGGGAUCCCACUUUUCUGAUCCUUUUAUUGGGAAGAUGUAGUGAUUUCUGAAUCUCCACCCAGAUAAGGAAACUUCAGUCUAAAAAUUUUCUGUUCUAUGAAAUACUCAUAGAUAAGGCACUUCCACCUUUUAAAAUAAUGAAUUAAAUGCUUGCUCUGCAAAAUGCACCUACGCUGUAUGCAAGGAUGUUGACCUCUCGCCAUCGCUUCCUAUGAGUUCACACAACGCAGCGGUGACACGGGGCCAUGGGGAAGCCCCCGCACUCUGCACGCACGUGUCACCUCCCGCACUCCUCCACCCCUGCACGGAGCAUCCCACACAGCUCCCGGCCUGGGCUGCUGGCGGGGCAGUCGCAGCUCAUGGUGGCUGCAGGAAGCGGCACAUCUGCCCUCGGCGCGCCCCGCUGCC
rnacentral:lncRNA from 1 species